CAGCACAAUUAGUAAGAUCAGAUUAAAAGAAUAGAAAAAACAAACAAUCCAGCCCCCCCAGAUCAUGAUGGGUUUAUAUAUGUCAAAUAUUAGAAUCUUUAUGACUAAUUCCUCAGGUAUUUUGAGCCACUUUGCUGGGACGUGUUUAUUUUCUCUGAAAGUAGAGGUGGGAAGUGUGGCUGUGCCUGGUCAGAGGUCACAUUGGGUUGUUGUGCUGAAGAGCUGAGUGUUCCUGCUGUGUCACUGACGGGUUGUGCCAGACCUUGCUGUGGGGUGCUGAAGGUGUGAUUCUCCUGAUGGUGGAGAGACCAGGGUUUCCACUGAAGUCAGGAAGGCAGAUGGUGCUGCUGACCUGCUGCCUUACAACCCUCUCCAUCCUUCUCUUCCCUGGUAGUGGAAAUACCUCAUUAGCUUUAGAAGGUGUGGAAAAAAGGAGAGGGGAGGAGAACUCUGUCCUUUCUCCUGACAAAAAGAAAAAGAAGUCAGUUUUGGAAAGUUCUGUUAGGUGAGACCUUCUUUCAGUUGCUGGCUUGUCCUCCUCCUCCUUUCACAUCACCCAGAACCUAUGAGGCAUCUGGAGGUGGUGCUCCAUGCUGUGCCUAUGCUCACUGCUGUAUUAAUUUAAAUAAAUCAUGCAAAUUAAAAAAGAAAGAAAAAAGAAAAAGAAUAACACCCUAAAAUCUUCCUUCUGUGCAAAAAUAAAUCAAAAGAUAGGAGUUUCUCUGGGAAUAAACCUUGUCCAGUGUGGUAGGAGCUGCUGUGUAAUGGCCUGUCCCUUUCUUCUCUCUGAAGGUCCCAACCCCAUGCGUCCCACUGGUCUGGAAUAAUGUUUGGAAUCUGGCAGUCUGGUCCUUCUUGUAGCUCCAGAGGAUUUUGAGGAGCAUGAGGAACAUGGGAUGCAUGGACAUACGGACCCACAAAACCCUCUGGAGAAUGCUGGCUGUGGAUAAAAGCAUCUGGAAGUUUCUACCAUCUUUUUACCCUGUUUUUUCCUGGGUCACCCUGUGUCAUUUAUGGCCCUGUCCUGAGGAUUACAGCAUACAGUCACUUACUGGAAUACCUCCCCAUGCAUCUUCUUGAAAUGGAGCCACUGCUUUACCCAGCUGGAAGAGUCUUUCUCUUUCUCUAGAGCUUUUCCAGUGCAACAGCAGUCCUGUCCAGCAGGUCUUGGUUGACUGCAGAAAGGAGAAGGGAGGAGUGUGUCAAAGGGAGGUCAGAUCCUGCCAGGGUUUCCUGGGAAAUGAGGUGUACCCACUGUUUGGAUGAUCAAACUUGAUGAGCUGCAAUUCGGCUUGGAUUACAGUAUUUCAGAAGACUUUCUGAACUUGCCUGGCAACCCUCCCCCUAGACUUUGGGGGACAGAGGAGCUUAAAUUUCUAUUUCCAGUGUCACACAAGGAGAAAGAGCAGAGUUGGCUGCUUUGCUCAAGUAAUGAAAAUGAAUGCUGUGUUGCUCUUGGAAGGAGUGCUCAAAAGAGAAAAAGCCUGGCAUAUAGAUCUUGGUUUAGAGACAGAUUUUGCCUGGGAAGAGUGUGCCCAGGGGAAGAUACAGGAAGAAGGAGAAGAGGUGAUGCUACAAGCCAGCUUCCUGAUCUUCAGAGUGGGACUGAAGCUUUGUAACAAGAUUUAUCUGGAAAGUAUGACCGACAGGAGCAGCUUACUCACCAUUAGAUAAGUAUUGCAGAUGACUCAUGCUGGAGCAUUGAUAGCAGUGCUGCUGACAUGGUAUCCUGUUUUAUAACUGCUGUAGUGUGAUGCCAAGAACCAGGAACCUUAAUUCCACUAUCCAUGCUUUUCUGUGAAUGUGCUUUGGGUCCCUGCACCUUUUCUCCUUGGUUUAUCCAGCUAAAGGGUUCACAGGGAAGGUUUUGCUUCCCUCAGUGGGGUACAGGGUAUGGGCCAGCUUGUGUCACCUUGAAAUGAAAGCUGGUGUUGAAAGGCUGCAGCUUUAUAGCUGUUCUCCAGGACAUGCAAUAUUUGUGUUUUUAAUAGAUGCUGUUAGUGACUUUCUUCGAUUCUUUGGGUUUUUUUGUUUUGUUUGUGUUUUUUCAGAGCCAUUAUAUCCCUUCUUCAGCAGAACAAACCAGAAGCUGCAGAAACAGAUUUUCUAACUAUGGAAGCUCUCCUGAGGAGCUGCAUUAUGUGCUGCUGCCCCUGGGAUGGGGCGCAGGGCAAGCAGUGAAGAACAGCUGCGAUGUGCCACUGCAAGCUGCUUUUGUGAGGAGAGGGACUUUCUGGCAUGGCAUGUGGUGCUGAAAGACAUUUUACUCUUGGCAGCAAAAAUCCUUAUCCUUCUUGGGUUUUUUUUCCAGGACAGAUGCUAUUUCCUGUUCGAGAUGCUUUGUAUGCAAAUCAAGAUGGUACAACAAGAAAAAAGUCCUGAAAGCAAUCACACCGAUAAGCUCAGCCCACUGGGGAAUUCCUGCUUAUCAUUUAUCUUUUUCUUUCAGUUCUGUACAAGAUAAUUCUUUGCUUGUGCUCUCUUAUAGUCUUUAAUGUUUGUCCUGCCCAGACCUCUUGCUUAUGAACUACAGUGCUUGCAUUUUGCAGAGUUCCAGGUCAGUCUGCACAAACAAAAGGCAGUAAGUGCUGGAAGUUGAGGUUAACAGUCCCUGUGUUUCAGCUUGAUCUUGCAUUGAUCUGGUGCUUCUGAAGUUCAAGCUAGACAUGAGCCUCACACAAGAGAUUGCCACAUGCCUGUAGUGAUGAUGAUGAUCUACCUGGAAAGGUGAUCUCAGAAGCCUUAGGAAUGAAAAAAAAAAGAGAGAUAAAAAGCAAAAAGAAGCUAGCAAAAAGUUUACCUUGUAACUUAAACAGGAGCAGGAUUUGACCUCAAGAGAUGGUGUGGGCAGCAUUGCAGUAAUGCAGUAACAUGAGUUGUUCACCUUGUUGCUCCAGCAAAGCAAACUCACAUAGAAUCACGGACUGAUUUGGGUGAAGGGACCUUAAAGAUCAUCUAGUUGAACUCCCUUGGCAUGGGCAGGGACACCUUCUAUCAGACCAGGCUGUUCAGGACCCCUUCCAACCUGGCCUUGAGCACUUCCAAGGUUUGGCCAUCCACAACUUCCCAUGGCAUCUGCUCAGCCUGUGCUCUGUAGGUGUCCCUAUAAGUGGAUGGGGCUGAGCAAAGCCUUGCUCUCACCAGCCUGCCACGCUGCUGAUGUUACAACAGGCUGUGGGGGUGAAAAAAAGACUCAGAAACAGAAAAGGACAUGUCAGAGAGCUGCAGAAGGGCAUUGCCAAAGAACAUUCUCAUUCAUGUCCAGAGACAGCCACUGCAGCCCAGGCCUUGUUGAAUCAUGCUAUGGUUGUUCUGGCCUUUGAGUAACAGUGAUAAUCCUUGUGUGUGGUGUUGGGUUUUAUUAUUUGCUUUUUUUCCUUAAAUGUAAAAUGAGCAGUCAAAUUGACAUUGGUGAGGCAGCAAGCCUGGUGCAGUUUUUAUCUAUCCUGAACCUCGGAACAAAGGAGAGGAGGAAAAUGGCUUGACCAGUUUGGCGGCCGUGCACGUAACGGUCCCGGAGUUCAAAGCAAAGGGCACAGCACUCAGAUACCCAAACCCGCCUGGGCUUUGCCUGAUAAGUCACAUUUCAAAGUAAAAGGCAAUCCUGUAGGGGCUCUGCUGAGUGCCUAAAGCCUCCAGUGCUGAGUCUUCUUUAAAAGGGGAUUUCAUAAGGAGUAAUAUGAACAGAAAUGGCUCUUUUGUGGUUUUACACAUUCCAGGCAUGCCAGAACUGUUCCUGUCAAGGAUGGGCAGUCUCUGGGGUUUUGGGUUCUUUUUCAUUUUUUUUUCCAAAUAUUUGCCACAAACUGGCAGCUGAAAUGGUGAAAAAUAAAUGAGUUGCAAAAUCAUUAUAGUAGCAGUAAUGGAAACUGUGAGGCUUAUACUUAAACUGGCUGUGGGGUUUCACUCCAUCUCUGCACUGUUGUGCUGUGAGGAUUGAGACUUUUACCUGCUAUGACCACUUCAGGAUGGAUGAUUUGAAAGCUUUAACUGUUGGUUACCCAGGAUCUCAAAAAACAGUGCUUUUGGCUUUUUCAGAAGCAAUAUCUUUUCAGCUGAACCGCUGUUAAGUCUGAAUUCCCUCAGUGUUGGUGCAGUUAUGUGGCCAUAUAGCAUCUUUACAUGAUGAUUUCUGCAGCUCUGUGUUACAGAAAUGGGACCCAGCUGUUCCUGCUUCAGGAGCACUUUUGUUUCACACAGGCUGUGCCAGUUUGGUUUGCACCCAUACACGUUAACACAGAGUUUUAACUGGUGUAAGAGUUUCAAUGCAUCAAGUUGUGGUGCCUGAAAUCUUAAAGAAGAGCACCUUUGCCUUAAAACAGUCUGAAGUUUCACAUGCAGUAAAACACCAGGUUCUGUGUGGAUCUGCCGUGUUAGAUGAGUGUCUAAUUCAUAAGCCUACGUGUCCUGUUCUUCUCCACAUGGAUGCUGCUCCUGUUGCCAUAGUCCUGUGUCUGGUGUAGUAGCAGAACCUCAUGGACAGCUGGGAAAGCCAUGGCCAGAGGUGUUGCUGAUAUCACCUCACAAAAAGUAUGGCAGUAACAAUGUGCAAUUAAGUGUGGGCCUCAGCUCCCCUGAGACACCCUACUCAAACACUCAGUACCUUUAUUAGCAGCGCACACUGACCACAGCCAGCUCAGCACCUCCGUGAGCUGGAGCUGCACCUUUACCUGCUCUGCAGGUGAGACUGAUCCCUCUGUGGGGGGAGCAGAAAGUGGUGCCAGGCUCAUCCCAGCAGAGUCUGAACCACAGGACCACAGAUACCCAUCCUGAGAAUUUGUUGUCAGCCCAAGUUUGACUAGAGCACAAAUGUAGACAGGGGAUGAGAAAGCAUCUCUUUGGAAGUGGCAAUAAAAGAGACACUGUUGGAAUGAACCUUCUGGCCUGGUUUUAUUAAACGUGAAUAUGGUUACUUAGUGGUGAAUGGGAGCUGGAGUGGAUUUAGGAGAUGGUUCCUGAAGCCCCCUCCCAGCCUCCAGCACACACUGAUGUCACACAGAAGUCUCAAGGCUGUUGCCUGGGUUGUUGUGGGUCUGUGGGUGGAGGAACUUAAUCACCAGGGUUGUUGUCAAAUGCUGCACUUACAAGAUAGAAGGAAGAAGUGCUUCUGUUAAUUGUGUGCUCAACAUAAAUAUUUUUCAUCUUAGAGGAGUCUAGUCUUCUAGCCUUCUGGACUGCUGCCAUUUUGGAUUUGUUUCCAUAAAAAAGGAAAAAAAAUUUUUUUCUUUCCCCAUCAGUGUUACCAAUGGCAGAUUUUUGGAAACAAAGUCAGAAGGGGGUGUUCAGCAGUGAGCUGUCUUUUUACUAGGCCAAUCUUUCAGGAGUUGGUUUUGAAGUGGAUUUUGUUCUGUUCACUCAAGUUCUCUGCUGUGGAAAUGUUUAUUGCUGAGAAUCUGCAGCAAGCCUUAUAAGUGGCAGGAAAAACUACCUUUGUAACCAAACAAAUGUGCUUUCCCUACAAGUCACACAGGUGUACCUUUGGAAUUUUCUUGUUUUGUUUUGUACCAAAAUUUUUAUCAUAAUUUUUCCAUUGUGCUAUCUGGAGUGGAAAAAUGAGUGGACCUUGAGUUGCAUUUUAAUAUAGAUUUUAUCCAUUAAUCACAGCAGAAGGGUACACAGAGAUUCUCUGUUAUCCUUCUUUUUCUGUGCAUUUGCUAAGUGUUUUGUGCCUUAGAAUCUCUGUUUUCACGUUUGAUGGUUUGAGAGUUUUGACAGAGAGGGCAGAAAUGCUUAAAAGUUUUAAUGUCCUUUGGAAGGCUACAAAAAUUAUGCAGUGGUGAAGAGAUGCAGGCAACCUGUAGAAGAGCCAGCUUUUGACAGCAUGGGAAGUGGUUAGCGCCUCAUUGGACAUCCUCACAUCAAAGCUGGACAGUGGGCUGCUUGAGAUACUCUGUUUGAACCACAAAUUGCUGGGCUUUGGGCAGAAAUCACUGUAUGAAAUUCUGUGGUCAUUAUUAGGCAAGCGGACAGACAAAAUAAUUUUGCUGGUUUCUCUCGGCUCUUAGAAUUUAUGAAUCACAUAGUCAGGGUGUUCUGAGGGGGGGGUUGAGUUUCCAUGAAAAGUUUGCCUUGGUAGCAUGCAGACAACAGAACCCAUCUGUUCUCUUGUCCUUUCAUCACGCUGUGUUGCUUUUGAAUUGUUCCAUAAGGAGGGUGAAAUCAGGCUUGUUAUUUAAAUUUCAGUAUGGGUGGCCAAAGCAACUCUACCUUGGUUAUUAUGGGCCUCCUGUGACCACAGGAAUAGAUGGUGCCUUGUGCCAGCCCUGGUUUAACAGACACCUGAGGAGCAACUCAUGGCUGCAGCAUAGCCCAUGGGAAUUGUGUGCCAUGGGAUCCUGCAGCAAGGCAGUGUCUGGGGAUCUCCUCGCACUCUUUAGUAGUAAGGAUGUAAUCUGCCUUUGUAGGCUGGUAUCUGAUGAAAUAGCACAGUGUGGAAAAAAACCCAACCCCACACUCAUUUAUGGUAGUUGAGUGUGUGUAGUUGGGAACAAAGAGUUCAGGUUCUGUCUGAAGUGCGUUGGAGCACAGAGUCAGGGAGAGAGUCCCUGGGAUCCUCGUGUGUAAUCAUGUGAAGGCGAGCUUGUGAUGGAGCUGUGAGACAGAAGGGAACCCAGCAGCUCUGGAGAGCAAGUAGGAGCAGGGAUGUGACUUGUGAUUUUGUCCUUUUGAAGGAGGGCACACUGCCUGGUGUCUGUAAGAAGGGAGGGGAGGUGCCAGGAAGAGUUCAUGGAAAGCCACAGAUGACUUUGUUUUGCUUUGACUCCAGGCUUGAGGAGUGCAGUGUAUUUGGUUAAUUGGGAUGAAGGCUGGCAACAGGGUGACUUGGUUGCCACAUCUAGAGGAAGAAAGUUUUGAUCAGCAGGUUUGGGGUAAGGAGGAACCCAUAGAAUUUCUAUGUCCUUUUCCAGAUUUUAGAGGAAAUGUCUGUCUAGCGUUGCAGGUUUAGUCUAAAAUAUUGGGCAUAUUAUGUAGAGGUCUUGGGUGCAAGGGAUUGAUAUGCAGUAAAGGGAUUGAUAUCCUGAAGGCAGGAUGGAUUAUUUGGGUCUUUCUGCCUUUAUGCUCAGAGCUCUGGUACUGUCCAGCACCUUCUUCCCUCAAAGAAGGGAAGCACCUUCUAGCCCUCCCUGGGGUAGGGAAGUUCUGCCACAACACUGGGCGCAGUGUAAACUGUCAGGACAAAAUGCUUUGGAGCCAUCUCACCUUAAGCCACAUGUCUAAGAUAUCUGGCUUUCCCUCUGGUGAUGGCUGUUGUCCUCUAGCAGCUAUGUGGGAGACCAGAAAUCUGCCUGAGAUGUGGACUCCUGUGCUUUGAAUGUCUGAAGCUGUGCGAGGUGAACGCCCAUCUCACUGCCUGUGUGCAUGAUGAGGAGUUAGUGGAACAAAGAACCUGACAAAGAACUCUCUGACACCACCUGAGAUGAAAAUAAUAUGGAAACUUUAAUCAGCUUUCUGCAGCUGAGCUGUCCCUGGAGGUCCUGUAUCAAACCUGACCCACUUGCUGAACCCCAGCAGUGCAGCACUGGGCACUCCUCUGCCUGCCCUCAGAAGAAUGAAGGGACAGCAGUAUAAAAAGAGAGACAAGUACAGGGGACAGCAAUCAGUGGUAAGUCUUCAGUAAGACAGAGCUGGGGUAUUUUGUUCAUUAUUAAAAGCAAACCCACCUAGUGCAGCAUUUCUCUUUGUGAGGUGCUCAGAAAGUAGGGAAGUGUUCACAGUUUUGUUUUCAACGUGAUUGAAUGUUUUCCCAGUUCUUGCUCUGCACCCUGGCUCGUCCCAUCCCAGUCUUUCCAGCCAUGCCAUGUUGGGAAGCAGCUGUGAGCUCAUCCUCAGGGCUGAGUUCUGACGUGGUGACUGUCCUGGGGUAGACUGCUUUGCAGGGAUGGAGGGAGGGCUCUUGCCACUGGCAAGGAGCAGCAUAACUCUUCUGCCACUUGUCCCAGUUUGCUGUCAGGCUGGCCUCCCAUGAUGGCUCAUCAUGAGCCCAGCCUCCCAUCUCUAAGCUCCCCAGAGAUGUUACCACUUUGCCAUGCCAUCAGAUUAGGGUAUCAGAGUGGAUAAACAGCAGUGGGUAAAAAUCAAAUCCAAGACCUCUGGGCUUUGAGAGGGUGAUAGCAGUGGGCUAUUUGUAGCAAACUGUAACCCAUAUCCCCUUUCUAGGUAGAUGUUCCUGGGAAGAUGAUUCCCAUGUGCUCCUCAGAAGGGCUGCUGAGCUGCCGACAAGCACCAAGCUUUCCCUUCCUGUGUGUACCCACCCUGCUGGCUGCAGCCCUUGCUGGACCCUGGGAGGAUGCAAGGCUCUGGCACUCCUGGGCUGCUGAGGCCUGGCUGCACUCCCUGGGCAGAGUGAUGCUCCAGGGCCUUUGAAUAGUGAGGGAAAUAGUGGGCCUCCAGAAUAGUGAGGGAAAACUACCUCCUCCCUGGACACAAAUCACAUUGAUUUGCUGAUGUAUUUUCUUAUUUUUUCUUUUGGCUGUCUAAAGUACAAACCUCUUUCACCUAUUUGACAUUAAUUCACUAAUGGAUGGCAGAAGGUUUAGUGUUUCAUUUUUAACUGAAAGAGUGAUGAUGCAAUUAUAAACCUUACAUCCAUUAUGUAUCUGUGAACCUUGUGAAAAGUGUGAGUUUUUAUAGAAAAUGUGAGAGUGGUAGGGGUUCUGGAAUAAAC